rnacentral:rRNA from 1 species
CCUACGAGUGGCAGCAGUGGGGAAUAUUGGACAAUGGGCGAAAGCCUGAUCCAGCCAUGCCGCGUGUGUGAAGAAGGCCUUCGGGUUGUAAAGCACUUUCAGUGGGGAAGAAAGCCUUGGGGCUAAUACCCUCGAGGAAGGACAUCACCCACAGAAGAAGCACCGGCUAACUCCGUGCCAGCAGCCGCGGUAAUACGGAGGGUGCGAGCGUUAAUCGGAAUUACUGGGCGUAAAGCGCGCGUAGGCGGUCUGAUAAGCCGGUUGUGAAAGCCCCGGGCUCAACCUGGGAACGGCAUCCGGAACUGUCAGGCUAGAGUGCAGGAGAGGAAGGUAGAAUUCCCGGUGUAGCGGUGAAAUGCGUAGAGAUCGAGAGGAAUACCAGUGGCGAAGGCGGCCUUCUGGACUGACACUGACGCUGAGGUGCGAAAGCGUGGGUAGCAAACAGGAUUAGAUACCCGUGUAGUC